AUGAGGACGUGAGAUAAUGAGUCUACUAUCAAACCACCCUUCGUUGAUGGAUAUCAACUUAGUUGAUUGGCCUAAUGGAAAGAUGCGAUCCAGCAUUAACAAAGAGAUAGGUCCUUGGGCAGGUGAUGCCGACACCGCAAGUUAAACCUUAUCAACUAUACCUUUGUUAGAUAGCGUAGUGAGAACAAGAGCUUAGACUCACCUUAUGGCGCAAGGUCUCUCACUAACACGCACUGGGUCGACUACGAUGAGAUAUGCUCUCGUAAUGGAUGCCAUUGAACUCCACUACUUUGUCAGUUUGGUAGUUUCCGAAUAACUGAACAUGCAGCCUAUGAAUGUGGUCAUAAUAACAUCUCUAUGGGAUCAGAGAUAUACAUGAAGAUCUUAAACGGACUUCAUUCAUCCGAAUCAAGUGGCUCUAAACCACAGGAGCAUGCGUUUGCUAAAUGUAUUGAAACACACAUAGACUCUACUUGAUUUGGAAGGGAUAUGGUGAAUUAUGCCUUUGCGUGUUCAUUCCGGAUUUACAUGGACUCUUGAUGGAUCAAGAGAUGCCAAUUUGUAUCAACAUCCGAAGAAAAAGAUCUUGGGAUGACAUGGUCUCGAUAAGGCACUCGAUGACUGUAUUGAUGAUGAUUUUCCAUCAAUCGGCUUAGGCGCUCUAUAACUAGUGAGGCCUACAUAUACUCCCAUGAUUAGUCAAGGUCUUUGCUCUAAAGAGAGAUCCGUUGUUUUGUCUAAAGCAAGAUGACAAAUAUGUGUUAAGAGAUGGAGUUCCCAUCUAAGUACAAUAAGACGCAUCAAUGUACUCAACACAAUACGAAAGACUUGACAUCUCAUUCGCUAUGAAAAGUUGUAAAGCUAAGUGUAGCUAUGCGCCCACGCAAUGCCAAUGUAAUGGCAGUAACUCCUUUUUCAAUACUUAAUGGUAUGAAAG
rnacentral:lncRNA from 1 species